GUAACAAGGUCUCCGUUGGUGAACCAGCGGAGGGAUC
rnacentral:rRNA from 1 species